UACGAAGGGGGCUAGCGUUGUUCGGAAUUACUGGGCGUAAAGCGCACGUAGGCGGAUGUGUCAGUCAGGGGUGAAAUCCCGGAGCUCAACUUCGGAACUGCCUUUGAUACAGCACGUCUUGAGUCCGGAAGAGGUGGGUGGAAUUCCUAGUGUAGAGGUGAAUUCGUAGAUAUUAGGAAGAACACCGGUGGCGAAGGCGGCCCACUGGUCCGGUACUGACGCUGAGGUGCGAAAGCGUGGGGAGCAAACAGG
rnacentral:rRNA from 1 species